rnacentral:misc_RNA from 1 species
AGAUGUGUAUAAGAGACAGGUGAAUCAUCGAAUCUUUGAACGCACAUUGCGCCCUUUGGUAUUCCUUAGGGCAUGCCUGUUCGAGCGUCAUUUAACACCUUCAAGCUCCGCUUGGUGUUGGGCGUCUGUCUGCUCACGCGGACUCGCCUCAAAAUCAUUGGCGGCCGGUACAUUGGCUUCGAGCGCAGCAGAAACGCGAACUCGAGGACGGUGGAUCAGCUCCCAGAAGCAAACCCCCCAAUUUUGACCUCGGAUCAGGUAGGGAUACCCGCUGAACUUAAGCAUAUCAAUAAGCGGAGG